CAGGGAUCAUUAUCUCAGAGAUGGUGGUGCUCACUCGUUCUUCCCCCCACUGCAGACCAGAAACAGACUCCGUAUUUUGAAAAUGAGCAAAUUAAAGACCAUAACUGGGAUGUUUACAGCCGCAACAUGGUGAACAAACAGAUAAGGCUACUGUGGAAACCAAAAGGUCACUGGACUUCAGGGACAAACUCAUGGAAAAUAAUCUACUGAGAUUGCUGAGACUGUGUGUGGCCCAG